UACGAAGGGUGCAAGCGUUGUUCGGAUUUAUUGGGCGUAAAGCGCGUGUAGGCUGACCUGCCAGUCAGAUGUGAAAUCUCGGGGCUCAACCCCGAAACUGCGUCUGAAACUACAGGUCUAGAAUCUCGGAGGGGAAAGGGGUAUUUCGCAUGUAGGGGUAAAAUCCGUAGAUAUGCGAAGGAACACCAGAGGCGAAGGCGCCUUUCUGGACGAGUAUUGACGCUGAGACGCGAAAGCGUGGGGAUCAAACAGG
rnacentral:rRNA from 1 species